rnacentral:rRNA from 1 species
ACCUGGAGGAAGGUGGGGAUGACGUCAAAUCAUCAUGCCCCUUAUGCUUAGGGCUACACACGUGCUACAAUGGGUAGUACAGAGGGUUGCCAAGCCGUAAGGGGGAGCUAAUCCCUUAAAGCUACUCUCAGUUCGGAUUGUAGGCUGAAACUCGCCUACAUGAAGCUGGAGUUACUAGUAAUCGCAGAUCAGAAUGCUGCGGUGA